rnacentral:rRNA from 1 species
GACGAACGCUGGCGGCGUGCUUAACACAUGCAAGUCGAACGAUGAAGCCCUUUCGGGGGUGGAUUAGUGGCGAACGGGUGAGUAACACGUGAGUAACCUGCCCUUCACUUUGGGAUAACUCUCGGAAACGGGGGCUAAUACCGGAUAUGACUCAGGCCUGCAUGGGUUUGGGUGGAAAGGUUUUUCUGGUGAGGGAUGGGCUCGCGGCCUAUCAGCUUGAUGGUGGGGUGAUGGCCUACCAUGGCGACGACGGGUAGCCGGCCUGAGAGGGUGAUCGGCCACACUGGGACUGAGACACGGCCCAGACUCCUGCGGGAGGCAGCAGUGGGGAAUAUUGCACAAUGGGCGGAAGCCUGAUGCAGCGACGCCGCGUGAGGGAUGAAGGCCUUCGGGUUGUAAACCUCUUUCGCCAGGGAAGAAGGGUGACUGACGGUACCUGGAAAAGAAGCACCGGCUAACUACGUG